GACGAACGCUGGCGGCGUGCUUACACAUGCAAGUCGAACGGUGAAGCCCUUCGGGGUGGAUCAGUGGCGAACGGGUGAGUAACACGUGGGCAAUCUGCCCUGCACUCUGGGACAAGCCCUGGAAACGGGGUCUAAUACCGGAUAUGACCUGGGACCGCAUGGUCCCGGGUGUAAAGCUCCGGCGGUGCAGGAUGAGCCCGCGGCCUAUCAGCUUGUUGGUGGGGUAAUGGCCUACCAAGGCGACGACGGGUAGCCGGCCUGAGAGGGCGACCGGCCACACUGGGACUGAGACACGGCCCAGACUCCUACGGGAGGCAGCAGUGGGGAAUAUUGCACAAUGGGCGAAAGCCUGAUGCAGCGACGCCGCGUGAGGGAUGACGGCCUUCGGGUUGUAACCUCUUUCAGCAGGGAAGAAGCGCAAGUGACGGUACCUGCAGAAGAAGCACCGGCUAACUACGUGCCAGCAGCCGCCGUAACAC
rnacentral:rRNA from 1 species